UUUCUGUAUUGCUGGAUUGUAAUUUCACUUUCUGGGGGCUGCUGACCACAUUUAAGGUCUGUCAGUAGAAGGAGCAGCGACUGCACCUGGAGGCUGCUUCCUUUAGAGUGUGGGGUGAACCCUUGAAACGGGGUGAGUGAGUCUUUAUUCCAGGGUUGCAAUAUCUUGUUUUUGGGGGGAUCCUGACCCCACUUAAGGGCUGGCAGCCUUUAAGGUGGUAUCUGUCUUUAGAGACUGUCUCUUUGGGAGCGUGGGGUGAGGGCUGGUCCUUGAGAAAGGAUGAGUGAUUCCUUCUUGUUUUAGGGCUGUGAUCUUUCCUGUUUUUGGGGCAUCCUGACCACAUUUGAGUGCUGGCAGAUGUAAGGGCAGCGUUGAUCUCUGGAGGCUGUCUCCUGUGGAGCAUGGGGACUUCACCUGACUGCCUCGACUUCUCAAAUACCACUGAGAGUGGCUCGGUGACUGCAGCACUGAAUUCCCUCAGAGCUCUGGGACUCGUCUCAUCAGGACCCAAAGACUCCUGGAUGCUCGGGUCCUCAGGUGGUCCAGAAGCUGAUCUCCCAUCACAGUGUGGGAUAGGGAGGGGUCUGUGGGACCGGCAUUGCUUCCUGAAUCCCCACCUACCAAACCAAAGGUGAGGGCAGUGUAUAAUGAGCAGUUAUCAGAGAAGAUGGAA